CGGAUGUCAGGGAUUGGGUUCCAGUGUUCCUGUGCGUGGAAUAUGAGAUUCUUUUUUUCAUCUGAGUGGUAAACAAAGACAAUCCAAUGUCACAGAUAUGAUGGAAUGUACAGGAGAUUGGACCUGAAAUUUCCAAAACAUGUUCAGACAGAUUUUUCUGUUUCACCAUCAUCUAAAUGCACGCAAUGUUACCAUGUGUGAAAGGGGCAGGGCUGUUUAUUUGGGGGCUUAUAUGAUGAUGGGCACAAUCACACUGAGAUAUUCUCUAGAAGAAGGCAAUACCGCCCAUCACUCGAACUGCCGCUAUGUCCAAGGUGUUCUGUGCGAGUGUGAUCUUGUUCCUCCUGACCACCCUGUGGUCUCACCACACAGCCCAGUCUUCGAAAAUUCCGGCAAAGAGCAGACUGCCAUUCCCAUGCAAAUGCAACUAUCUGUCCUCUAAGAAAUUGAUCUGUCAAAGAGGUUACACCUUAAAAACACUUGAGGAGACAAAGGAACAGCUCAGAUGUCUUUGCAAGGCAUACUACCAAGGAAAGCUGCAGAGCCACAGUCCUGACUUAAAGAAGUUGUGCAAGACUUGGUUUUAUAAGAUACCCAUUCCACUGCCACUGGUCUAAGUGUGUUUGUGUGUGCCUGAAUAUGGAUCGUGAAGAGGCUGGAGGCAGGUGGCCUCAGUACCCAUUAUGUCUCUGUAUUUACCCAUUGAUGUUUCGCUGUCAAACAGGCUGUAGGUCACUGGUAACAUUUGCAAGAUAGAAUCAGUUUUAUGAAAACUUUUUUAAAAUUUUUAAGACCAGUGUGCGAGCGAUAUAUGAAUAUAAUCAUUUCCUGUCUUCAAAAACUAUAGGUAGAACUUUUUGGCCUAUGGCAACCAAACUGUUGCAGGCAUAGGAAAUUUUUUUUACCUUAUUCUACUGUUGACAACAGCAGCAUGGAAUGAUGUGUUUUAAUUAGAGCAAUAAAAAAUAAUGUGGACCUCUAGGGAAAUUUUAG
rnacentral:lncRNA from 1 species